CACAUGACUAGAUGGGGUGGACUCAUGCUCCAGAUGUCCUGCGCUCGUAUAAGGGUCAGCCACUGAACGGCAAGCAUUUCUUGGACCUAGGCUGCUUCCUGGAAAGGAGUGCUUCAGAUCCAGAGAGCCCCUUCACCAGUUGGCAAUACACCUGCUGCAGUAGAGAAAAGCAUGCUGUACUCCUCCGUCUCUAGCUAUGGAUUAUUCACAACGUGCUGUGCUUAUUUCUCAGGCAGCUCUUCGUCCCAUCUGAUCCCUUCAUCCUGUUUUCGUCAUCAGUUCUUAAUACACAUCAACAUUAGUCUGGAAUUUAGGCUAUUUACAUGGUCAGCUGAUAAGUGAUAGAAACUGUUCCAGCAAUAUAACUAUCAAAUUAAAGAAGAUGGGAAGGAAGCUCAACCCUUGUAGCUUGAAAGUUGUUACCACAUAUCUGAGUAGCACAUCAUUUCUAGAUACCUUUUUCAUUGUACUGACAUUUGUAACAACUUAAACCUAAUAAAUGUGAAAUAUAUGACAGGAAAAUGAGAAAUAAUAUUGAGUUGCCACGUGCAAACUCCUUUUUAAAUAAAGACAUUCCAACUUCACCCAUCUGCCACUACUUCGGCUAUCAUCAUAGAUGAGAAUAGCAAAAAUGCUGAUUAUGUUGACAUUGCUAUGGAUUUUGCCAUGAGCAUUAAUGGCAUUAAUCCUUUCUCAAUCACAGAUCUACUUCCCUCCAAUGUGACAUGUUCUAAUCUGUGUCGUACUCUUGUAAAUGUUGUUCUCCUAAGUCAUUCACUAUAGUCCUAAAUGUUGUUCUUUCCAUUACUUGGAAAUAAAAUGAAUUCUGUACUACUUUUUCUGUUUCCCCAUUCUGCACUCCCAGAUACAG